CCUACGGGCGGCAGCAGUGAGGAAUAUUGGUCAAUGGGCGCGAGCCUGAACCAGCCAAGUAGCGUGAAGGAUGACUGCCCUACGGGUUGUAAACUUCUUUUAUAAAGGAAUAAAGUGAGGCACGUGUGCCUUUUUGUAUGUACUUUAUGAAUAAGGCUCGGCUCACUCCGUUCCAGCAGCCUCGGUAAUACGGGGGAUCCGAGCGUUAUCCGGAUUUAUUGGGUUUAAAGGGAGCGUAGAUGGGUUGUUAAGUCAGUGGUGAAAGUUUGCGGCUCAACCGUCAAAUUGCAAUUGCUACUGUGAGCCGUGAGUACAGGUGAGGUAGGCGGAAUUCGUGGUGUAGCGGUGAAAUGCGUAGAUAUCACGAAGAACGCCGAUUGCGAAGGCAGCUUACUAAACUGCCACUGACAUUGAUGCUCGAAAGCGUGGGUAUCAAACAGGAUUAGAUACCCCGGUAGUC
rnacentral:rRNA from 1 species